AGCAGUAGCCGCGGUAACACGUAGGGUGCAAGCGUUAAUCGGAAUUACUGGGCGUAAAGCGUGCGCAGGCGGUUAUAUAAGACAGAUGUGAAAUCCCCGGGCUCAACCUGGGAACUGCAUUUGUGACUGUAUAGCUAGAGUACGGCAGAGGGGGAUGGAAUUCCGCGUGUAGCAGUGAAAUGCGUAGAUAUGCGGAGGAACACCGAUGGCGAAGGCAAUCCCCUGGGCCUGUACUGACGCUCAUGCACGAAAGCGUGGGGAGCAAACAGGAUUAGAUACCCCCGUAGUCCCUGUCUCUUAUAC
rnacentral:rRNA from 1 species